UAUAUUAUGAUGUUAGAAGACGGUUGCAUGCACACUCUGUUAAUUGCUAGGGACCAUUUCGAUGAUAAGCUUAGGGGAUUACUGUGUCGUGUGGAAGCUCGCUUUCGGCUAGAGUU